GCCUGAGCAGCGGCCUCUGUUCCCCUCCUUCUGAUGAGUAUUGCUCUUCUUUGCAGCAGCUGCCCCUCCCAGUUAGCACAGUUCAGAUGUGACUUCAAGCCAACCCUUCUGACACCUUGAUUUGGGACUUCUGGCCUCCAGAACUCUUUUGUAAUCCCAGUGCCAUCACAGAACUUCCAUUGCUGUGGGAAAUUGUUCUGCUACAUGGCUGUGAUGACAUCAGCCUCUACGAGGGGAAAAAGAGAAAUAACAGGAAAUUCAGCUGUUAACUGAUAGAUGAAGGAGGAACUGGUUUUCAAAUGUGCAACAUCAAGAUAAUCACCUUCACUGGGAAUUGUUGUUAAAUUAUGGAACAUGUAAGUCUAUAGAAACCCUAUUCUUUCAAGCUUCUACCUUUUGUUGUGUCCUUCAGUUUGAUCUGCCAUUGAAAAACAUGUUGCAUUCCUGCCUUGCAUAGAAGAAUUCUGAAUACAUCAAAAAAAAUUAGUAACUUUAGUUGACCAAUUUAUAUUUUGAGACCAAACUGGUUUCUUGCAGUGAUGCUGAAUGUUCAAAUAUGUUCAAAAGAACUCUCCCUCUGGAUAAUCAUAUCUCAGCAUGCAAUCACAGUUGUUUAUGAUUGUCUUCCAUAUUAUCAUGUAAUAAAAAGAAUAAUCUUGAAUUUACUGAAUUAGCCUUUAUGUAAUUUAUAAUCUUCACCAAGUCACUAAGCACACUGUUUAGUUCAGUUGACCAAGACUUUCUCAAAGAGAGAAGUGGUAUGCUGACUUACAUUUAAUUAUAAAUUAAGGUCCUUAAUUUUGGUAACUACUCCAAAAUGUUUUCUUGUCAUUGCCACUACACAUCCAAUUGUAUUCCUGCACAAAACUUCAAACCACAUUCAUUGACAAUAUAAUUUUUCAGAGCUUUCUGUUGUUUAGAGUUAGUUUGUCAGCAAUGAAGCUGAAAAAGGAAUUCCUCCUUCAUAUUACCAUCAUAUUCCAAUAGCACAUAAACUAAAAGAAUUGUCAUAUUAGCAGUAUCUAUAUAUACAUUCAUAUCCAUCAAUAAGGUUGCAGAGAAAAAUAAUUAGCUUUAUUCAUUCUAUGAGAUAAUCUACUCAAAUAUUCCAAGUUGUUAGGUUGUUGGUAAAAGUGACAAUUAAACUACGUUCUUCUUUGCCACAGAUUCUCCCAACAUUUUUAAGAAUUUUUUUUUUAAGAUUUAUUUAUUUGACAGAGAAAGACACAGCGAGAGAGAGAACACAAGCAGGGGGAGUGGGAGAGGGAGAAGCAGGCUUGAUCCCAGGAUCCCGGGACCAUGACCUGAGCCGAAGGCGACGCUCAAUGAUUGAGCCACCCAGGCGCCCCUUUUAAGAAUUUUUGAUGCAGU